CGGACAGAAGGGAGCUUGCUCCCGGAUGUUAGCGGCGGACGGGUGAGUAACACGUGGGUAACCUGCCUGUAAGACUGGGAUAACUCCGGGAAACCGGAGCUAAUACCGGAUAGUUCCUUGAACCGCAUGGUUCAAGGAUGAAAGACGGUUUCGGCUGUCACUUACAGAUGGACCCGCGGCGCAUUAGCUAGUUGGUGAGGUAACGGCUCACCAAGGCGACGAUGCGUAGCCGACCUGAGAGGGUGAUCGGCCACACUGGGACUGAGACACGGCCCAGACUCCUACGGGAGGCAGCAGUAGGGAAUCUUCCGCAAUGGACGAAAGUCUGACGGAGCAACGCCGCGUGAGUGAUGAAGGUUUUCGGAUCGUAAAGCUCUGUUGUUAGGGAAGAACAAGUGCAAGAGUAACUGCUUGCACCUUGACGGUACCUAACCAGAAAGCCACGGCUAACUACGUGCCAGCAGCCGCGGUAAUACGUAGGUGGCAAGCGUUGUCCGGAAUUAUUGGGCGUAAAGGGCUCGCAGGCGGUUUCUUAAGUCUGAUGUGAAAGCCCCCGGCUCAACCGGGGAGGGUCAUUGGAAACUGGGAAACUUGAGUGCAGAAGAGGAGAGUGGAAUUCCACGUGUAGCGGUGAAAUGCGUAGAGAUGUGGAGGAACACCAGUGGCGAAGGCGACUCUCUGGUCUGUAACUGACGCUGA
rnacentral:rRNA from 1 species